GGGUUGUGAGGUUAAGCGACUAAGCGUACACGGUGGAUGCCCUGGCAGUCAGAGGCGAUGAAGGACGUGCUAAUCUGCGAUAAGCGUCGGUAAGGUGAUAUGAACCGUUAUAACCGGCGAUUUCCGAAUGGGGAAACCCAGUGUGAUUCGUCACACUAUCAUUAACUGAAUCCAUAGGUUAAUGAGGCGAACCGGGGGAACUGAAACAUCUAAGUACCCCGAGGAAAAGAAAUCAACCGAGAUUCCCCCAGUAGCGGCGAGCGAACGGGGAGCAGCCCAGAGCCUGAAUCAGUGUGUGUGUUAGUGGAAGCGUCUGGAAAGGCGCGCGAUACAGGGUGACAGCCCCGUACACAAAAAUGCACAUACUGUGAGCUCGAUGAGUAGGGCGGGACACGUGGUAUCCUGUCUGAAUAUGGGGGGACCAUCCUCCAAGGCUAAAUACUCCUGACUGACCGAUAGUGAACCAGUACCGUGAGGGAAAGGCGAAAAGAACCCCGGCGAGGGGAGUGAAAAAGAACCUGAAACCGUGUACGUACAAGCAGUGGGAGCACGCUUAGGCGUGUGACUGCGUACCUUUUGUAUAA
rnacentral:rRNA from 1 species